rnacentral:rRNA from 1 species
UACGUAGGGGGGCAAGCGUUUGUCCGGAUUUAUUGGGCGUAAAGAGCGUGUAGGCGGCUUUACAGGUCCGUUGUGAAAACUCGAGGCUCAACCUCGAGACGCCGGUGGAAACCGUAAGGCUAGAGUCCGGAAGAGGAGAGUGGAAUUCCUGGUGUAGCGGUGAAAUGCGCAGAUAUCAGGAAGAACACCCGUGGCGAAAGCGGCUCUCUGGAACGGUACUGACGCUGAGACGCGAAAGCGUGGGGAGCGAACAGG